GGCCGUGUGGCUCAAUGGCAGAGCGUCUGACUACGAUUGCCGUGUUGGGCUGCCAACACGAGUCACAUGAUAUCAGAAGGUCGCAGGUUCGACCCCUGUCUCGGUCA